CACGCCGCGUGGGUGAGAAGGUCUUCGGAUCGUAAAACCCUGUUGUUAGAGAAGAAAGUGCGUGAGAGUAACUGUUCACGUUUCGACGGUAUCUAACCAGAAAGCCACGGCUAACUACGUGCCAGCAGCCGCGGUAAUACGUAGGUGGCAAGCGUUAUCCGGAUUUAUUGGGCGUAAAGGGAACGCAGGCGGUCUUUUAAGUCUGAUGUGAAAGCCUUCGGCUUAACCGGAGUANUGCAUUGGAAACUGGGAGACUUGAGUGCAGAAGAGGAGAGUGGAACUCCAUGUGUAGCGGUGAAAUA
rnacentral:rRNA from 1 species